GAGAUUCCCCUAGUAACGGCGAGCGAACGGGGAUGAGCCCAUCGCCCAACCCGACGCCCUCUUGGGCGCUCCGGGGAUUUGGCGUAUGGGAGAGACGCCUCCGGGAACCGGCUCCGGUGCAAGUCCCCGUGACUGGGGCUCCCACCCCGAGAGGGUGCAAGGCCCGUAGCGGCCGGCGGCCGGCCCCGGAUGUCCUCUCCUGGGAGUCGGGUUGCUUGAGAGUGCAGCCCUAAUCAGGUGGUAAACUCCAUCUAAGGCUAAAUACGACCUCGAGACCGAUAGCGAACAAGUACCGUGAGGGAAAGUUGAAAAGGACUUUGAAGAGAGAGUUCAAGAGUACGUGAAACCGUUCGGAGGCAAACGAGUGGGCCCUCGAAGGAAGGCGGCGGGGGGACUCAGCCGACGGCGCCCGGGUGGCUCCCGCGGCCCGCUUCCCCGAAAAGGGACGGGCCCGGGCGGCAGGGCAGUCCCGGGGCAGUCGGCGCAUUUCCCCUCGUCCUCUGACGCUGCGACCGGUCGGGUGCGCCACGAGCAGUCGGCCUUACUCGCGGGGUACGGUGGGUAGCCGGGCGACGCCUCGGCGUCGUUCCGGUGUCUAGCCGCCCCGCAAUCGCGGCCGUUCACCCGACCGCAGGACACGGCCCCCAGGGGCCCCGUCGCGUCCUCCCAGGGGAGGGAGCGCAUCUUUCCGCCGGAAGGGACGUCGUCGUACAUGCGUCGUAUUCACCCAAGCGUGUGCGGCGUGCGGCGACGCCCGCUGGCCGGCGGAUUAGCGCGCGGACGCGUGCGGUCCGCAGCGAGUAGGUCGGUCACCCACUCGACCCGUCUUGAAACACGGACCAAGGAGUUUAGCAUGCACGCAAGUCAUUGGGUCUUGCUCAGGCCCAAGGGCGCAAUGAAAGUGAAGGUCGGCUUACCGCCGUCCGCGUUGGGAUCCGGGGGCCGGGGGGCCUCCGGCGCACCAACGGCUCGUCCGGGCCGCCGCGUCGGCCGGGCGAAGCGAGAGCGUGCACGCUGAGACCCGAAAGAUGGUGAACUAUGGCUGGGCAGGACGAAGCCAGAGGAAACUCUGGUGGAGGUCCGCAGCGGUUCUGACGUGCAAAUCGAUCGUCAGACCUGGCUAUAGGGGCGAAAGACCAAUCGAAUCAUCUAGUAG
rnacentral:rRNA from 1 species